UUUCAACUUCCUAAAAAGGAACACAAACAAAAACACAACACAGGCUGACUGGGCUGGAGAGCACGAGAAUCUGCCAGACGCCCAAACCACGCAGGACCCACACGCUCAGCGAGCUCAGCGCCCACCGGCUCACACAUCCAUCACUCUCGGGGGAGCCUCCUAUGUCCCAGCGACUCCACAAGCACGGUGGCUUACCCCGGCCGUGGCUUAUACUCAGUCGGAGUUAAAAAGGCCAUAGUCCCUUAUUUCAGCAAAAUAAAAUCCAUCACCAACCCUCGCCGACAGCCUCAGUCUGUGUUUCUUUUACACCAACCACCUGACCUCACGGACUGCGUCAGCCUCACACCUGGUCCUUGGGCAGAAAGCACCAGGGAAGCGGACACAACGCAGGUUCAUGGACACUGGGAAGAAAUAUGUGAAAACCAACAAUGCCUUUGUGUGAACACGGACAGCAUACGCCAGCAUAUUUAAACAAGAAUGACAUUUACUGCAAAUAAAUGUGGCCAUCACUUCAGUUUA